UUCGAACCAUGCUGAACACCCUCUCUGAUGAUGCAUUGAUGUGUGGCACGCACAAAAGUUCUUUCAUCAAAUGCACUAGAUGGCAGUAUUGUCCUGUUUAAGAGUGUCACAACAUUGCUGUUUACGGCAGACGAACUGCUUUACGGUAUACAAAAACGUGACUGCUGUUGUUGUGUGUUGUUGCCGCGCUGGGAGGACGUUAAUGAAACUGCCUAACAAUAAACCCACAUAAGAAACCAAGAACUCGCCCUCCAUCAUUCUACAGUUAUAAAGUGAUUGGGCAGGUAUGCUGUCUAUAUUGUGGGUUAGCGGACUCAGGUCCGUAUGGACCUGAGUCCGCUGAAUUUCGGGAGAUUUUCGGGAGAAAAUUUGUCCCGGGAGGUUUUCGGGAGAGGCGCUGAAUUUCGGGAGUCUCCCGGAAAAUCCGGGAGGGUUGGCAAAUAUGAACUAAUCCACGUGGAUUAGUUUAAUUAACUUAAUGCUAGCGGCAGUUAUGACGGUGUUUCCUGAGUUUGCGCACGGGCCAAAAACUCCGCUCCGUGUCUGUGUGGACAUCUUGUGUGCAGCUGUGGUAUUAAUAUGAGUUUGUAUUAUUUCUUUCUUUAUUCUUUAGUGGAGAGAGAUCCUGUUUACUGUGGACUGUGUGUGACGCCCUGUUGUUUUUGCUUCCAUAAAAAAAAGCAUCAUCUAUUGCCUGGAUUGCCUGGAUUUUUGCCUACAAUUGCUCCUGCUGCGUUGGCUUAAUCAAAUAAAACUUGACAGCCACAAAGGGGGCAGAAUAAAGCGCAAGGUUACAGUGGACACUGCAGUAGAGGAGGAUCUGCCAAUCAAGAGGAGGAUGUUGGAGAUCAUGGAGGAGUCAGAAAGGCACUACACUGAGAGCAUGCAGCUGGUGAACGCCAACAUCGCAGUCAUCACAAACACCAUAAAGGACCGUUUCGAACUGCUAAGGACCAUGAUGGCUCCGCAGCAAGGUGUGAUUCUGCUACUGUCCCCGAUACCAGUGCCUCCCCAGUCAGGCCUGGUAGACCCCGUACUUGUGUCGUCUCCAGUCCUGUCCAGUCAAGCCGGGGUCACUAACCUCCAAGUAAAGAAAGAGGUGAAAGAGGAGAUGAUCCAGUAUGGUACCGGAGAGGUGAUGUUGAGCGAUCAAAAACAUAUUUCGGAUUGCAGUGCAGAUACAGGGUCAUGCUGAAACUGCUUCGACAAACAAAGUGACACUUACUUGAAAUAAGGUUGGACCAGAGGACAUUGACGGUGACCUUGAGGUUAACAAGCGACAAGAGUUUGGCAAGUUUGGCACCGUCAACAGACUCGUCAUCAACCAAGAGAAUCAAGGAGAAGAGGAGGAUGUCGACAUUGCCAAGAUCUUAGCGUAUUUCAUGGCGUCGGACAUAAAGUUAUUGAAGCCUUUGCGACAUCUCGCAAAGUCGUGCGUACCAAAGUGCACAACUCUUCAAUAGCUGUGUGUAAAAUGAUCACCUUGUAUUACUGUUGCCCAUCCAACUACUUUCAGCCGUCACGGCAACUACAAUGUAUCUUUGUAAUUAGUUUUUUUUUUUUACAUAGUUCUUUAUUGGUGAUUCAAUAACUCUUUGGUUGCAUCUAAAAUUAUUGACCUGUAAAAACUUUUCCUUGAUACAAGUUGUACAUUUUAUAAUACAGGUGAUUCAAUAAUUAUUUGGUUGCUUCUAAAAUUAUUGACCUGUAAAAACUUUUCCUUGAUACAAGUUGUACAUUUUAUA